AUUGAACGCUGGCGGCAUGCCUUACACAUGCAAGUCGAACGGUAACAGGGAGCUUGCUCCGCUGACGAGUGGCGAACGGGUGAGUAAUGUAUCGGAACGUACCUUUUAGUGGGGGAUAACGUAGCGAAAGUUACGCUAAUACCGCAUAUUCUCUGAGGAGGAAAGCAGGGGACCUUCGGGCCUUGCGCUAAUAGAGCGGCUGAUAUCAGAUUAGCUAGUUGGUGAGGUAAAGGCUCACCAAGGCGACGAUCUGUAGCGGGUCUGAGAGGAUGAUCCGCAACACUGGAACUGAGACACGGUCCAGACUCCUACGGGAGGCAGCAGUGGGGAAUUUUGGACAAUGGGGGCAACCCUGAUCCAGCCAUGCCGCGUGAGUGAAGAAGGCCUUCGGGUUGUAAAGCUCUUUCGGCCGGGAAAAAAUCGCAUGGGUUAAUACCCUGUGUGGAUGAUGGUACCGGAAUAAGAAGCACCGGCUAACUACGUGCCAGCAGCCGCAGUAA
rnacentral:rRNA from 1 species